AGUUUCUCUUCAUCUGAGAACACGGCUCAUAUGUGGCUGCUUCUGGAGUUAAGGAGUUCUCUGAACCCAGAGUGAAAGGAUUUGCUGGGGACACUCCAUUUAGGCCUGAGUGUUCCAAGGUCUGUUACUCUCUGCAUAUUGCCCAGCUAUAGGUCUUUUACCCAUCACGGGAAGAAGCUUCUCUAAUGAUGGCCGAGCAAGACACUGAUCUGUAAUCUUUGAGCAACUCUAGCUCUGGCCAAAACCUAUCAGAGUUGAUCAACCCUCAGCAGGAUGACUCAGUCAUGGUAG